GAUGAACGCUGGCGGCGUGCCUAAUACAUGCAAGUCGAGCGAACGGACGAGAAGCUUGCUUCUCUGAUGUUAGCGGCGGACGGGUGAGUAACACGUGGAUAACCUACCUAUAAGACUGGGAUAACUUCGGGAAACCGGAGCUAAUACCGGAUGAUAUUUUGAACCGCAUGGUUCAAAAGUGAAAGACGGUCUUGCUGUCACUUAUAGAUGGAUCCGCGCUGCAUUAGCUAGUUGGUAAGGUAACGGCUUACCAAGGCAACGAUGCAUAGCCGACCUGAGAGGGUGAUCGGCCACACUGGAACUGAGACACGGUCCAGACUCCUACGGGAGGCAGCAGUAGGGAAUCUUCCGCAAUGGGCGAAAGCCUGACGGAGCAACGCCGCGUGAGUGAUGAAGGUCUUCGGAUCGUAAAACUCUGUUAUUAGGGAAGAACAUAUGUGUAAGUAACUGUGCACAUCUUGACGGUACCUAAUCAGAAAGCCACGGCUAACUACGUGCCAGCAGCCGCGGUAAUACGUAGGUGGCAAGCGUUAUCCGGAAUUAUUGGGCGUAAAGCGCGCGUAGGCGGUUUUUUAAGUCUGAUGUGAAAGCCCACGGCUCAACCGUGGAGGGUCAUUGGAAACUGGAAAACUUGAGUGCAGAAGAGGAAAGUGGAAUUCCAUGUGUAGCGGUGAAAUGCGCAGAGAUAUGGAGGAACACCAGUGGCGAAGGCGACUUUCUGGUCUGUAACUGACGCUGAUGUGCGAAAGCGUGGGGAUCAAACAGGAUUAGAUACCCUGGUAGUCCACGCCGUAAACGAUGAGUGCUAAGUGUUAGGGGGUUUCCGCCCCUUAGUGCUGCAGCUAACGCAUUAAGCACUCCGCCUGGGGAGUACGACCGCAAGGUUGAAACUCAAAGGAAUUGACGGGGACCCGCACAAGCGGUGGAGCAUGUGGUUUAAUCCGAAGCAACGCGAAGAACCUUACCAAAUCUUGACAUCCUUUGACAACUCUAGAGAUAGAGCCUUCCCCUUCGGGGGACAAAGUGACAGGUGGUGCAUGGUUGUCGUCAGCUCGUGUCGUGAGAUGUUGGGUUAAGUCCCGCAACGAGCGCAACCCUUAAGCUUAGUUGCCAUCAUUAAGUUGGGCACUCUAAGUUGACUGCCGGUGACAAACCGGAGGAAGGUGGGGAUGACGUCAAAUCAUCAUGCCCCUUAUGAUUUGGGCUACACACGUGCUACAAUGGACAAUACAAAGGGCAGCGAAACCGCGAGGUCAAGCAAAUCCCAUAAAGUUGUUCUCAGUUCGGAUUGUAGUCUGCAACUCGACUACAUGAAGCUGGAAUCGCUAGUAAUCGUAGAUCAGCAUGCUACGGUGAAUACGUUCCCGGGUCU
rnacentral:rRNA from 1 species